GGCUCGAUAGCUCAGUUGGUAGAGCAGAGGACUGAAAAUCCUUGUGUCGGUGGUUCGAUUCCGCCUCGAGCCACAA
rnacentral:tRNA from 1 species